CGCCCCCGCCACGCCGGCCGCCGUCAAGACGGAGGCGGUCGCCACGUCCGACGAGGAGAGCCUCAAGACGCUCAAGACGCGCAUCCGCGAGAAGCUGGCCGCCGUCAGCGCCGCCGCCGCCGCCGCCGCCGCCGCCUCGUCGCCGUCUUCCGCCAACGACGAGUCCUCGGCGGCGUCCUCGCCUCUCGCCCUCCACGGCAGGAAGUCCCUCAAGAAGCUGGCUGCGGUGAAGAAGGAAGACCCGGAUGGCGCAAAGGCGCUCCCCAAGAAGGAAGGUGUUUCUUCAGACGACGGCGGCGCCGACGCCGAGGACGAAUACGCCGACUUCGGCGAUGACGACGACGACGUCGACGACGGUGCCACCGGCAGCUCCUCCAGCGCCGGCCGCGUCAAGCAGGUGAAGAAGAAGCGCCGCCUGCUGAAGAAGGCGAGCUCGGCGGCGGCGUCGCGGCGCAAGCAGGCGCCGGCCGACAGCGGCAGCGACUC